rnacentral:rRNA from 1 species
CCCAGACUCCUACGGGAGGCAGCAGUGGGGGAUAUUGCACAAUGGGGGGAACCCUGAUGCAGCGACGCCGCGUGGGUGAAGAAGCGCCUCGGCGCGUAAAGCCCUGUCAGCAGGGAAGAAAAUGACGGUACCUGAAGAAGAAGCCCCGGCUAACUACGUGCCAGCAGCCGCGGUAAUACGUAGGGGGCAAGCGUUAUCCGGAUUUACUGGGUGUAAAGGGAGCGUAGACGGAAAGGCAAGUCAGAAGUGAAAGCCCAAGGCUCAACCAUGGGACUGCUUUUGGAACUGCGUGGCUGGAGUGCAGGAGGGGCAGGCGAAAUUCCUGGUGUAGCGGUGAAAUGCGUAGAUAUCAGGAGGAACACCGGUGGCGAAGGCGGCCUGCUGGACUGCGACUGACGUUGAGGCCCGAAAGCGUGGGGAGCAAACAGGAUUAGAUACCCCAGUAA